CGGAACUCAAAAACUCAAAGAAGAGAGUGAGCGAGAGAGGAAGAGAAAGAUAACCAAGAGAAUUGAACGGUGCCGUUUCGCAAGCCAUCUUCUUCCACGAGCCAAAAAAGCUUCGUCCCAAAACCUGCAACUUUCUCCGGGAAAAAUCUUCUCCAACUAGUCAAAGUCGGAACUCUGAAACUCAGAAGAGAGUUGAACGGUGCUGUUUCGCAAGCCAUCUUCUUCCAAGAGCCGAAAAAGCUUCGUCCCAAAACCUGCAACUUUCUCCGGGUCAGUUUCAUCCUCCUUUUCCCAUCUCCUUGGGUUUUUUUCGUUUGGAUUUUUCUGUUGCAUUUGCAUAUUCUAAUUUUUGGGGGUUUUCGGAUACUAUGCACAUAGUAAUUCAAUUCUCAUGUGAUGUAAAUGAUCGUUUGAACCCUUUGAUUUGUUUUAAGAUUAAUCUUAAUUUUGAUAAUUAAUCAAAAGUUUAGAAUUGAAGUUGUUAUUUUAGUUGCUUGGAUUAGGAAAUAUUUUUACAAGCCUUUGGAAAAUUAAAGUUUUAUCUCAAUGGAAUUUUGAAUGGAAUGUUGAAUUUCUGUUACUUUUUGUGCUUGCUUGGUAUGUGGAUUGAUCAUAUGAAUUUUGAUCAAGUUGUAUAGGAGUAUGGCAAUGAGAGUGCACCGUGUUUCACUCCAACAGAGUGACAUUUGUUCCUUUGUGGUUGAGUAUACGGAAUUUAUCCCUUCGGAAUGAUGGAUUUAAGUAUCUGUGACGGGGGAUGCAUUUCGAGGGAAAGGAGGGUCCGAUUGUAUUGUAGUUGAGGAUAUGAAAUUGGAUAUUUGAAGUGUUUAACCAAAUCGUAAAGUUUGUUUGUUAGCU